rnacentral:rRNA from 1 species
AACGAACGCUGGCGGCAUGCCUAACACAUGCAAGUCGAACGAGACCUUCGGGUCUAGUGGCGCACGGGUGCGUAACGCGUGGGAACCUGCCCUUAGGUUCGGAAUAACUCCCCGAAAGGGGUGCUAAUACCGGAUAAUGUCUUCGGACCAAAGAUUUAUCGCCUUUGGAUGGGCCCGCGUUGGAUUAGCUAGUUGGUAGGGUAAAAGCCUACCAAGGCGACGAUCCAUAGCUGGUCUGAGAGGAUGAUCAGCCUCACUGGGACUGAGACACGGCCCAGACUCCUACGGGAGGCAGCAGUGGGGAAUAUUGGACAAUGGGCGAAAGCCUGAUCCAGCAAUGCCGCGUGAGCGAUGAAGGCCUUAGGGUUGUAAAGCUCUUUUACCCGGGAUGAUAAUGACAGUACCGGGAGAAUAAGCUCCGGCUAACUCCGUG